CUUACUUUUUCAUUCUAAUGUGAGUAUUUCGAAAGAGAAAAAUAUGGCAUUGUUAAAGAACAAUGAGCUGACAGUCAGGAGACUUGAAUUCUGGUCCAGUUGUACCAUGAUCAGCUUGUGUGAAGUUGGCUAAGUUUUGGAGUCUUGCAAAAGGUAUCCUUCCCGAACCCUGAAGGUACCCUUCCCGCCCAUAACAUUUUGACGCCCAAUGUUUUUGGCUCUCCUGAAAGCUACUCCUGUACUCCGGAUCAUCCAUGAGGACACAGCUUCUCAGGACAUGAGGCUCUAGCCUACAGCUAUAACAUCCCAGGGACCAGGGAGUCCCACACAUCUUGAUCCAGGCAGAGCUGGAAAGAAGACUUUUGAAAAGUACUUCAAGGACUUGUGUGCGUUGCCUUUUGAUGCUGUUACAGAAUCCAGAAAGGCCAGCCACGCCGCUGAAUCAGUGUCUGAAGGUACAGAUUUUUUACUUCCCUGAGGUAGAGUGGGACUAGAAACAGAAUUGCGGAUUACAGACACUGAGCAGUGGUGGCCAUUAAGCAAAGGGCAGUAAUGCUACCUAAGCAGCUUAUUGGCCACAUCAUAUCAUUUCACCCACUUUAGCAUCUACAUGGCAAUCACAUUACCAGUGAAAACUUCAAGCAGACUUAGCAACACAAAAAAGAUGGACACACCUAGGCACAUGUGUGUAUAUAUGCACACAUACAUAUAUACAUGCAUGUGCACACAUGUUUAUAUCUACCCUGUGUCAGUCAACAGAUAGAUACAGCAUAGAUAUAGAUUUCACUUUUGAUAUAUGUGUAUGCAUACAUACAUACACAUACACACAUUUCAAAUUAGCUGCGAUCUCCUCUCUAUGGAAUUUAUACUCAUUCUGGUACCGAUGAGAAGCUGUUUCUGGGUUCUCAUUCUGUUCAGCCCUUUUGUAGGCUCUCCUAUACAUCCUUCAUAAAGAAUCCACUCAAUCAAUGUACC